ACGCCCCCCCCCCCGGGUCGGGGCAGCCCGGGCAGAGCGGAGGGUGAGGAAGCGGGCAGCGGCUGUGAGACGAGGCUCGCCUCAGAGGACUCGCUCGUCACCGGCGCGGCGCCCUCGGUGCGUGUGACCGAGAUGAGCGCCCGCAGGCCAGGACGCCUUUCUCGUCAGGGAUCCCCAGACCGAACGCGGAUGCCGGUAGCGUGGGUGCUGGCGAGUCAGCCGGUCACGGUCCGGUCACUCGAGCGUGGAAACACGUACACGCACGUGCGGCCUCCGUGUGAAGGGACGAGAGCAGCACGGUACGUUCCGCGCGAGGAAACCUGACGGGCAAGAAGCGUGCACAAGGGCUUGACGUGGCGCCGCGAUUCUAAGACCUCCCUCCAGAAAAACGGAAUAUUCUCAUUUUCUUCGGAGUCCAGAGCAAACUCCACACAUACCAUUUCAUCCACAACUAUCUCAGUAUUAAUCUAUAAAGACCAGGACUACCUUGUAAAACAAAACUACAACUCUACCAUCAAAUUAAAAAACCUGGUGAGCACGCAUAACUCCCGACGUCCCGUAAUAUUCUUCCUUUGUAAAUAGCUGUUCAAAUGAGUAUCAGAUGAAGGGCGAGGGGGAAAUGCCAGGGGUAGACAAAACCACCUUGGUAACAACCCCAGUCUGCAUCAGAGAGGAACCUCCUUCCUGCCAUGAUCUUGGAACUCCCGGUGCCUCGCCCGGCGGGACCCCUGGUCAGCCCCUCCUUUCUUACUCCCCAUCUCUUUCUCUUCUCCGGUUGGUUUCUGCUCUUUAGCCCCCCUAACACUCCUUGCCUCUGGAGCUGUCCCUCCACGCCAUCCCAUCAAGGUCAGGAGUACUGGCCACGCCCUCUGACCCCACUCACUUCUCAGCACCUUCAUCUGGGCCCACCUGGCCACUGAACCCAAGCCUCUGUCAGCGCCAGUGACUUGCUGAACACCGAAGCUGAUGGCUUCUCACCGGUUUUCAUCUUCGUAAAGCUCCUUUCGAGACCUUUUGUGUUUUUGGGUUCCAAGACCCUGCCCGGCCUAACCUUGGGUCUCCACCUCGAAUGGCUCCUCCGUCUCCUGCACUGGCUCCUCUCCCUCUCCCACCCCUGGAGAGAAGACCUUUCCUUUUCUCUCCCUGUGCUCCUCUUUGGCAAUCUCCUGUCUGCACGAUUACCCUGAGAUACUGUCACACUUUACAGACAGGUUCAAUAACUUGCCCCAGACUUGCCUCAUAUGUAGCAGAGCCAAGGUUCAAACCAGGUCCGACUCUCUCUGAAGGCAGUGGCUUCACGACCAUGUUGUGCCGGCAACCACAGCUCCGUGCUGGGUGACUGCAUAUAACGUAGGAUGUGAAGAAACCCCCUGCACCUCUCACCCAGCUCCAGCCGAUGAUCUAGUCGUGCUUUUUCGCUUUCCCAGGAGACUCUCACCUGCUUGUCCCUCACUCUGGAUUCCUCUGAAGCAAGUCCCAGACACAUCAUUUUGUUGAAACAACAGUGAAGAGUUUUGCCCAUAUUUCUUCACACCCUUGCUGUCUCCUGCUGACUCUGGUGCUUCCCCCAUGUGGCCCUUCACGGUAUGCUGUGCCCCCUGCUUCCAGAGAACCUCUAGUGGAGGAGCUAGAGCUACAAACAGAAAAUUCUAAAAUAAUGUGAAAAUGCAACAAUAUGAUGGUGAUAAACCAGGAGUCAAUGGAAGUUGUUGGGGUGGGAGGAGGCAGCCAACCUAUCUGGGCAGUGUCCUGAAGAAGGCGAGUCUCAAAAGAUGAUUAGAAGUUAAGCGGGAGAGAGGGGAGGAAUGGAAAUUUCUGACGAGACAUGGAGGAAGCAACAUGGCAUACGCAGGAGUAGCAAUUUAGUGUGGCUAGCCCCUGAAGUGCCAGGGAGGGGGCGGUGACGGCUGAAUCCAAAAGUGGGCAAAGUCACCACUGAACACAAAGUAAAAUCCCAAAUCCUCUGACAUCAGCAAGUACUUCCAGGUUCUCCCACUGACGUCUCCGUGCUCCCCACCCCCAGUCUGCCCAUGUACGCACUCUUGCUUCCUGAGGACUGCUUAUUUAUCCCCACCUCUGGGCACUGCACCAACUCUCUCCUGCCUAGAAUGUCCUCCCUGUCUGCCCCUUCCUCCAGCCUUUCUAAAGUAAUUCAAAGUCUUCAUUCCCAAGAUUCUCCCUGCCUCGCCCCAGAACCACUCCCUCCUCACCCUCCUCCCCAGGGUUGCCCUGCUUGUGUUUGCACUCCUGUGUUCUCUUUGCUUCCCCUCUAGGGUGGGGGCUCCUGGACAGAAGAGAACAAAUUCGCUUUACCCCCAAAACAUGUCCCUUCAUAUAGAGAGUGCCACUAUACGUAUUGAAUUAAUUGGGGUCUUGAAUACUAAUGCCUCUUCUCCCAGUUUUGUGGCAUAGCUGUUGGGAAGGAAAGAAGGCUCAUUAGCUUGCCAUCCUGAGGGGGACCCAACAGUAGCUCUCUGAGGCUCUGCGAAACAACUUCCCCAACCGCCAGAACUGCCGUUGCUAUGGUUUCUCCCUCCCACUAGGAGUACUUAGGUGAAUGCUGAUUGAAGAACAGGGUUCCACUGGCCAAGGCCUUUUCAGGCCAUUUUAAGAGGGAAAAAACUUGGUGAAAUGACAGAACGCCUUGAAAUUAUUCCGAUAUCAGAGCGCCGUGAGAAAAACUCACCACAGUGAGAAAUUAAUUGUGAGACCGCAGCCAAAAAUCUUUUUAGAGAUAAUGCUACAGAUCUCAUCCAUCAUUAGCCAACCUCAAACAUGAAGAUACUUGUUAACCUAAAUUUAUUUCUGGAUAUGACUUAUUAGACACUAAGACGAUUUAUUUUUAUUUUUAUUUUUUUUUUUGCUAACAUAACUUUUAAAUGUAUGGAUUCAGGAUUAAUGUGGCAUUUUAGAUUAUAAUUAGCACUCAGCUAUAAGUAAUUGCUUCUAAGCAAUUACUAAGCAAAACUAAGAGUUUAGUUUCCUAUUCAAAACAUACUAAUACAAGCCAGCGUAUACAAGGCGGAGACUGUCCCUUCUGACUGGUAAUCAGUUUCUAAAUCUUCAAUGUUCGAAAAAUGGAAGGCAUAAGCUGAGAGAAGAAUUGAUUGUUUCACGUUUAACUUCGGCCCUAAAAGAGACCUAGGAGUGGUCUUCUAGAUUCUGCUCCUAGAAGCCAGCUGUCCAACACUCAUCAGGAACUAGUAUUUAGGUUCAGUGCUAAUACCAAAGAGAUGCGCUUGGAAGAAAAUGUGCCACAAUCUCAAAUUUACUUGCAAGAUGCUUGGGAUUUUAAAUUUUAUCAUACUGCGCCUCUUCCCCAUACAUGACUGUUCUAACACAAACAGAAGAUGGGCACCUCUCGGUUGGAACUAGUAUUUAUAGGGUCAGGAUCUGACGUUUGCCCUGAAGCACAUCCACAUCUGUCAAAAUCGUGCUAAGCCCAGUUAUAAAAUCAUAAGGAUCAACUUAAUGUAGACUACGGGCCAUGGGUCCCCCAACACACAGCCCAGGAAUCUGUGUUUCUAACGGAUUUCUGAGUUGAUUUUUAUACAGCCAGCCUCAGUCCAGAUGCCUACAGAGCAGGCAAAUUUUCAAAUGUCAGUGGGCCAAAGAAUUGCCUGAAGUAAUUUAGAAUGUUUGUCCGGAGUCUAAUUUGGUCAGCCUGGGGAAGUGGGGGCAUUGACAUUCUGACGUUUCCUUGGCUGUCCUCACACUGGUCUUCAGAAACACAGACACGAGCCAUUUCAAGCAGGUGCUUUGAAAAUAGCUGUACCUCCCUGAUGUAUCUCCACUCUGGAGACGCAUCUGUAAAAGUUGGGCUGUGUUCCGCCCCAGAAUGGCAGAAACUGCUAUAUAAGCAGCAUAGGUUGAUUUGUCCCUUUUCGGCCCCUAGGGACUCAAAACAGGAGUGUGUCCAUUCAGCAGCUUGUUCCACACGGGGAAGGGGGCAAAGCUCAGGCAGUCACCCUGCGUCACACCGUGUCAGCCGUUGCCUCGCUCUGCUCGGGCCUGAGCCUCUGCUCUCGACGGUCGGCAUCCCCCCUGGUCAGUCUGUUCUCCAGGCUGCUAAGCAGCUCUCUCAAACCCCCUGCGGCCGCCCAUCACUCUCCUCACGAGUCAAACCACAUUCAAGACCUCUGAUAAAUCUCUCCAGGAUCUACUUUCUGCCUUUAUCCUACUCGGCUUUCUGCCUCCUUUGGUGCCACAAGCCUCGCCGCUUUUUCUGCCAGCUCCUUUGCUUUGUUUUUCUGUGGCUAUCUUCUUUCUCCUCUCUUUCCAAAUGUUCUCCCUUGCCUUCUCCGAUAUAGACAAAAGGUCAGAAGCCAAGCCCAUCACAAGGGGAGAGCCCAGUGUCCCAGUUUGCUCUGUGUCACAGUGGCCGCACCUCUUGGACUUGCAGACAGCCUUGGACGCAGAUACCAAGCAAGUCUGAGGCCCAGAGCCACCAUUUCGAGGAAGGCGGUUGCCCGGAACGCAUCUUCCCUCUAAGGAUGGAAGUAGGUAGGUUGCUGGCUCCAGUUGUUGCUCCGUCCAGCUCCUCCUUCCUCCUAAAUGCAAAGUGAGUCUCUUUAACUCGGAGAUCCUAAUCUCUAGAGUGUCUACUGCCCUAGGCAUUGUACACGAUGGGAUGUAAACUUUCAUGUUACAGAAGAGGAAACAGGCUGAGAGGGCUGAGGCAUUUCAUUUCAGGCCACGUAGUGGAUACAGGAAAAAGCAAAGACUUAAGGGGCACCCGGUGGCUCAGUCAGUUAAGCCUCUAACUUCAGCUCGGGUCAUGAUCUCACCGUCCGAGAGUUCAAGCCCGGCGUCAGACUCUGUGCUGACGGCUCAGUACCUGGAGCCUGCUUCGGAUUCUGUCUCCCUCUCUCUCUGCUCCUCCCUCACGCACUCUCUCUCUCUCUCUCUCUCUCUCUCUUUAAAAUUAAAAUAAAAAAAAAAAACAUUAAAAGCAAAGACUCAAAAUUGGGUGUCACUGACCCAUUCUCCCAUCGCACUGCUGGGAGUGAUGGGGAAGCAGAGAGGGUGUGGACACCACGCCUCAGUUCUUCUUGAAGGCAUUUUCCAAGGCCCUGUCUCAUUUUCUGCCCUCACACACUACACUCUGGUGCACAGACCUGGUGCGAGAAAGGUACACAACAGCAAGGCUGAACGUGACCUGCAUGGCGUGACACAAAUAACCACAGUGGCUUUUUAUUGUUGGUAGCAUAACCACUGGAUAAAAGUAAUGCUCAAAAUGCAUAUCAUUAAAAGCAGAAUAUACAUAUAUUUUUUCAAAAUAGCAAUUACUUCUAUCAAAGCUCAUGAUUCAAAGAAAAUCUGGACUCAUCAAUGAGGAAAAACUUAGAAGACUAUCACAAAUAAGUUUUACAUAAUAGAUCAUUUGAAGUAAUAAAAAUUUCUAAAAUCUUAUCAAAUGAUAUUUAUAAAAAAAAAUUUAGAAAGUUUUUCAACAUUAUCUACUGUAUAGUUUCAAAUAAUCAAGCAGGUUAUUUCUGGCUCACGUAAUGGUGGGUUAGUUUAUCCAAGACAAACCCUACUGCUGAGAACAUGUAGAGAAGGUGAACAAUGUGAACAGACGUGUAUGAAAACUUCCGAGAGCUACCAGAGUAGCAAAGACUUGAAGAGCCAAGAUCCCAGCCAGAAAAGAUGAGAAGGGAAGUGAACCAUCUUAUUCACAAGGCAUCUGCCAAUUUGUAAACAAACAAACAAACAAAAACAAAGUUGAGAGGCUAAGAGGCUAAAUAGAGUUUCUGGCGAUCUCGUGGGGCUAGGAGAACAAAAAUUGAACUUGGGGGUCCACCAGAGGACAGGCCCUUGUAAAUACCCCCACUCUUUCGGUCUGGACCUCCAAAGGGCUUACUAGGAGUAAGAGUAACCUGAAAUCAGGCAACACUCACCAAGCCAAGUUUGAAUCCGUUCAGACUUUGGAUUGAUGAUACCGCACCUACCGUAACCGCUUUCCAGAAGCAAAAAUAAAUGCCCUCCAGACAAAGUUGACAUCAGCCCGAGGCUCUAAGUUCCACUUUCAGAUUCACCCUCCUAUCAGCCACCAUAGGUUCACUUACUACUCACAGUGCCGGUCUUGAAUGCUCUCUUCAUUUCUGGCACUUCCGUGUCUUUAUUUCUUUCACUUACUUAUUUGUCACAAUUUUUAAAUAAUAUUUUGUUGAGAAUUCUUAUAUCUGAAGAGGGAAGAAGAAACUUGUAGCAUAGGUCUUCCUAGUAUGUUGCCAGAAGUCAAAGUCACCUGGGAAAAUCUUUUCUCUCAGUUUCCAAAUCUCUUUAAAAUCAAAAUACACAUAUAUCUAAAAAGUC